rnacentral:sRNA from 1 species
AAAAAAACGAGUCUUCUCCAUCUGAAUGGCUGUGUUUCUCAAUGUAUUUGGACGAAUUAGAGAACGAUAAAAAAAUAUUCACAGAUUUUUUAAAAAUAUUGAAUCUCUUAUAACGUAAAUGUUAAAGCGGAUAAUUUGACAAGAAAGGUUCAUAUCCAACCGCAUUAUAUCAUAUAUGUAAACAAAA